rfam:Dialister sp. CAG:357 genomic scaffold, scf119
GGACAUAACUCUGGAGAUCUCCGCUGAAACGAUGCGGAAGCCGAAGGUGCAAAAGGCGCAAGCCUCAAUCUCUCAGGCAAAAGGACAGGGCCGGACAA